rnacentral:rRNA from 1 species
UUUAUGGAGAGUUUGAUCCUGGCUCAGGAUGAACGCUGGCGGCGUGCCUAAUACAUGCAAGUCGAGCGAACGGACGAGAAGCUUGCUUUUCUGAUGUUAGCGGCGGACGGGUGAGUAACACGUGGAUAACCUACCUAUAAGACUGGGAUAACUUCGGGAAACCGGAGCUAAUACCGGAUAAUAUUUUGAACCGCAUGGUUCAAAAGUGAAAGACGGUCUU